GCAAGGACGUGUACUCUACACGAUCAAUCCUCCUUUGCAGUAGCAAACUGAGAAGCUUGCAAGAACAACGGAUUGCAAGCUGGGCGAUGAAUUGGUGGAAGGUGGUGUGUGGUCACAGUGAUGUUCGAAAUCUGAAGCAAUGAAUUCGACGAAGGGGGAGAGAAAGCGUGCAAGGACAUUGGUCGGUAGAAUAAAUUGGCUUGCAGUAAAAGAAGAUCACGUGAUGGCGCAUGGCCGCAUGGGAGAACUUAUGGUCUUUUGAUUCCAAAGGUUUCAAGCGCUUUGUUGUGAAAAGCUGAAAAGGUGAGGAGAACAAAGAAAAUUUAGAUCUGGUUUAGUUUCCAAUUUUUUCUUCAAACUUUUAACUUUUUCAUCGCAUCAAAAUUUUCCUACGCACACAAACUUUCAAUUUUUCCGUCACAUUGUUUCAAUUUCAAUCAAACUUCUAAUUUUAGCGUAAACUAAGGCCGGGUUUAGUUACAAAUUUUUUUCUUCAAACUUCCAACUUUUUCAUCAUAUCAAAACUUUCCUACACACACAAACUUUCAACUUUUCCAUCACAUCAUUUCAAUUUCAAUAAAAAUUCUAAUUUUGACGUGAGCUAAACAUACCCUUAAAAAGAUAGUCGUCAUAUUACUUCAAGGAGAAUAUACUACAGUAGUAUAUAUAGGAGUAGUUUUAUUUUAGAUAAUGAGUAUAUAGGAGUAGUAAAUUAUGGAAAUGGUAAGAUAUAACCAUGUUCAGUGUUCUACUUUUCAGUAGCCUCUCACAGGGUACACAAAAACAAGGAACCACCAACAUUGUACUUGAGAUGGUUAAUACUCUAAAAUCUAGAUAAAACUUGGGAACAAAGAGAGGCACUAACAUUUUCUUUUUGUUCUUUUGAUAAAACUGGUGCGUAGCCAUUGCACAUGAAGCUCGUUUUAUUACUACUACUACUACUGCUACUACUCAACUUGAUUAUAGAACUUGAAUAUAAUGUUGGGUUGUUGUGAUUAUCUCCCGCGGUAAUAAUUUUUUUCCACUGAACGAGGCAGCGCAAGCCAGAAUGCACAUGUUCAUGAGAUAAGUGUCAGAGGGGAUGGAUUUAGUAUUUGGAAAAUAGCUUAUGCCGAUCUGAAAACUACUCAGAUUUUCGCUCAGUGGUGGUGCACGUCGCUGGUCUUUUUUUCCCAUUUCCUCGGUUCGUGGCUAGCAGCCUCUUGCCCUCUUCUAGUUCACACGAAACUGGUUAGUGCACUAUUUUUCAAUGUAUCCUCCACAUGGGUUUGUCGAUGGAUGUCAGAUAUCCCUGGAAUAAACUUCAGAGAAAAAGUU
rnacentral:sRNA from 1 species